CUUGCUUUUCUGAUCUAGUGGCGGACGGGUGAGUAACACGUGAGCAAUCUGCCUUUCAGAGGGGGAUACCGAUUGGAAACGAUCGUUAAUACCGCAUAACAUAAUUGAACCGCAUGAUUUGAUUAUCAAAGAUUUAUCGCUGAAAGAUGAGCUCGCGUCUGAUUAGCUAGUUGGUAAGGUAACGGCUUACCAAGGCGACGAUCAGUAGCCGGACUGAGAGGUUGAUCGGCCACAUUGGGACUGAGACACGGCCCAGACUCC
rnacentral:rRNA from 2 species